GAUGAACGCUGGCGGCGUGCCUAAUACAUGCAAGUCGAGCGAACAGACGAGGAGCUUGCUCCUCUGACGUUAGCGGCGGACGGGUGAGUAACACGUGGAUAACCUACCUAUAAGACUGGGAUAACUUCGGGAAACCGGAGCUAAUACCGGAUAAUAUAUUGAACCGCAUGGUUCAAUAGUGAAAGACGGUUUUGCUGUCACUUAUAGAUGGAUCCGCGCCGCAUUAGCUAGUUGGUAAGGUAACGGCUUACCAAGGCAACGAUGCGUAGCCGACCUGAGAGGGUGAUCGGCCACACUGGAACUGAGACACGGUCCAGACUCCUACGGGAGGCAGCAGUAGGGAAUCUUCCGCAAUGGGCGAAAGCUUGACGGGGCAACGCCGCGUGAGUGAUGAAGGUCUUCGGAUCGUAAAACUCUGUUAUUAGGGAAGAACAAAUGUGGAAGUAACUAUGCACGUCUUGACGGUACCUAAUCAGAAAGCCACGGCUAACUACGUG
rnacentral:rRNA from 1 species